CCUACGGGUGGCAGCAGUGGGGAAUAUUGGGCAAUGGGCGAAAGCCUGACCCAGCAACGCCGCGUGAAGGAAGAAGGCUUUCGGGUUGUAAACUUCUUUUGACAGGGAAGAGCAGAAGACGGUACCUGUCGAAUAAGCCACGGCUAACUACGUGCCAGCAGCCGCGGUAAUACGUAGGUGGCAAGCGUGGUCCGGAUGUACUGGGUGGAAAGGGCGGGUAGCCGGGCUGGAAAGUCAGAUGUGAAAUCCGGGGGCUCAACCCCGGAAGUGCAUUUGGAACUGUUUGUCUUGAGUAUCGGAGAGGCAGGCGGAAUUCAUAGUGUAGCGGUGAAAUGGGUAGAUAUUAGGAGGAACACCAGUGGCGAAGGCGGCCUGCUGGACGACAACUGACGGUGAGGCGCGAAAGCGUGGGGAGCAAACAGGAUUAGAUACCCAGUAGUC
rnacentral:rRNA from 1 species